AGAGUUUGAUCCUGGCUCAGGAUUAACGCUGGCGGCGUGCCUAACACAUGCAAGUCGAGCGCCCCUUCGGGGGCGCGGCGGACGGCUGAGUAACACGUUGGUACCUGCCCCGAACUCGGGGACACGCACUGGAAACGGUGUCUAAUACCCGAUAGUUCUCUUCGGAGUAAAGAUUUAUCGGUUCGGGAGGGGCCUGCGCCCGAUUAGCUUGUUGGUGAGGUAACGGCUCACCAAGGCUCUGAUCGGUAGGUGGUCUGAGAGGAUGAUCACCCAGACUGGGACUGAGACACGGCCCAGACUCCUACGGGAGGCAGCAGUGAGGAAUCUUGCACAAUGGGGGAAACCCUGAUGCAGCAACGCCGCGUGGAGGAAGAAUGCCUUCGGGUUGUAAACUCCUUUUAGACGGGACGAACAUUGACGGUACCGUCUGAAUAAGGACUGGCUAACCACGUGCCAGCAGCCGCGGUAAUACGUGGAGUCCAAGCGUUAUCCGGAUUUACUGGGCGUAAAGCGUCUGUAGGUGUCCAAUUAAGUCUUCGGUGAAAUCUCCGGGCUCAACUCGGAAACUGUCGAGGAAACUAGUUGGAUCGAGUUUGGUAGAGGUAGAUGGAAUUCUUGGUGUAGGGGUAAAAUCCGUUGAUAUCAAGAAGAACACCAGUGGCGAAGGCGAUCUACUGGGCCAAUACUGACACUGAGAGACGAAAGCGUGGGGAGCGAACGGGAUUAGAUACCCCGGUAGUCCACGCUGUAAACGAUGGGCACUAGGCAUCUGGGGCAUAGACCCCCUGGGUGUCGUAGCUAACGCGUUAAGUGCCCCGCCUGGG
rnacentral:rRNA from 1 species